rnacentral:rRNA from 1 species
UUGCACGCUGGCGGCAUGCCUUACACAUGCAAGUCGAACGGUAACAGGUUAAGCUGACGAGUGGCGAACGGGUGAGUAAUGUAUCGGAACGUGCCCAGUCGUGGGGGAUAACUGCUCGAAAGAGCAGCUAAUACCGCAUACGACCUGAGGGUGAAAGCGGGGGAUCGCAAGACCUCGCGCGAUUGGAGCGGCCGAUAUCAGAUUAGGUAGUUGGUGAGGUAAAGGCUCACCAAGCCGACGAUCUGUAGCUGGUCUGAGAGGACGACCAGCCACACUGGGACUGAGACACGGCCCAGACUCCUACGGGAGGCAGCAGUGGGGAAUUUUGGACAAUGGGCGCAAGCCUGAUCCAGCCAUGCCGCGUGCGGGAAGAAGGCCUUCGGGUUGUAAACCGCUUUUGUCAGGGAAGAAAAGGUUCUGGCUAAUACCUGGGACUCAUGACGGUACCUGAAGAAUAAGCACCGGCUAACUACGUG